AAACACCCGGUGCUGCCAGCGCUCUCGGAAAAGGAAACUCGGUCAGAACUCGGAAUGCCGGCCGGUUACGGGGGUUCCGGAGCAACCUCUGCGCCCCACGUGAUUCGAGUCGCAGCUGCAGGAUCCUGGCCUCCAAGGCGCCGACAGCCCGCACGGCUUCCGAGGGCACCACCGGGGACCCUGAGCCGCUGCGACGGCCUGAGUUCAAUCAAAGAGCGCAGCAGCAGCGCCCCAGCGCCAUCAAAAGGGAACGCGGGCACCCAACGCGGCUUCCCCACAGUCCCCACGAGGCGGAGGCUUCCCCGGGGGCACGGGGCCACGCCACCACGGACUUCCGGCCCGCUUGGGUCACGUGCUCUUCCCUAAGCCAAUCACCAGCCGCGAGUGGUCCAGGGCAGUCACAUGCCUGCCGCAAUGCACGCUGGGCCACCAGCCUCUUUCCGGGCGGUCUGUGGCCUCCAUCUUGGAAACCUCGCGUUCCUCAGGGCCCCUCGGUGCCUUCUGAACAGGCGCAGUGAGAACGUGCUGUUGAGAAGUCGGGCUGCAAGAACCCAGCCUCUCUGGACCCUAUGGACCAUCCUCUACAGGUGCUCCUCUCUCUGCCGGAAGUACAAGCAACACAAUUGCCAGACUUUCCUGCCACCAAGAGGAGGAAUCAUCAUCUAAUAACUGGAUUGCAGGGGGUCAUCCCUGAAUCCAGCAGGCCCCUGGCACCCAGUAAGCUAAACCUAGUGUUUACAUCAAGCUCCAGUGUGGACAUAUCCAGGUCUGGGAUCUGAGCUUCAAAGCUGGGAGAGGCCCUGAUGCACAUCUGACCACAGACCAGCAAGAACACACUGUGUGCAUCACCACUGUUUAUCAAGAUGAAAACAGAUUCUCUGACGGCAUCAGGAUCUGAGGGGCAUUUCCACCAUGCUGCCAGGCAGGGCCCAGCCUCUCACCAACCAGCCUAAUUCUACUGGGCACGGCUCGCAGCGAGACUCACUCAGGUGAGACGGAUGGCAGCCUUCACCUUUCUCCUCCCUUCCUGACUUCUGAAUCUUACAGUUAACAUUAAUCCCGACUAAAGAACACUAUGUGUCAUUUUAUUAGAUAAGGAACAUCAAAUUAAAUGAGUACUCUGAUCAACAAAACCCUUAAAGAUCCAGACAACAUAACCUGUGUCUGCACUGGAAUUAAACACACCCAUUCCUCCCAAGGUAAUGUUACGAGGAUUAACAAUUUUUGAAAACAGUUUUACUUUUAAAUUUGGUUACAAGGGAGCUUUUGUAAUAUGUCAAGGAAUAUCCACUGUGAACAAAGUAAGACAGCAAAAGAAACACGUCUGUCUAGAAUUCACGAGAAAGUCACAUGAACUCAUGGGAGGGGGAAGCAAAGAGGCACCAACAAGGUCAAGGUCAUACCUGCUCAGCCAGCUUUCCCAGCCUGUUGGGCUGACAGAGGCCAAGGAGGCCAGCAGAGUGAGACAGGGAGGAGACAGCCACAGGAAACACACACAGAAGCAGCAGCCACAUGAGAAACACAGGGAAAGAAAGAGCAAAACCCACCUCUGUAUCUCAAAGAGCAAAAGUGAACAUCCCAUAACAUCAUUUCUGCAAUCAUGUGUGGUACCCACACCCUUCCGAUGUCCAGCAAGGAGGGCCGGGGCUUGCAGAUGCAGAGCCACUAACACACAGGCUGGCACCCACGCUCAGCCACAGCCCACAGCAGGCAGCGAGCUCACAGAAGACUCCCACCCGGCCUCCUCUGCUGUGUGACAAGGGGCAGAGGCUCGAGUGGCCAGGAGUCCUGUCAUGGUGAAGAGGGCAUGAGCUGAGCCACUGCCCUGCCUUGCGUGCACUGCCACGAGGGGGAGGCACAAGGCCAAGCAAACACUUUGGAAACAGAGACAGACCUGCACUCAGCACAGCUCUGGCGUGGGCACAUGCCAUCUCCUUACAGCUAUUCUUGCACUAUGUGGGUGAAUAGGGCACUCAAUAGGUAGGGUAUCUAAAAAGCUAUUUGGCUUUAAAAUGUUAUUAGAAAGAAAUGAAAUUGAGAUAUUAGCACAAAAUCUGGGAAACAGCUGUAGCUAUCUGAGGAAGUGGUGAACAGCAGUGCCGUGGACUCUUCAGUCUCUGAAACUUGGUUUGUUUAUUAUUUAUUUAUUUAUUUAUUUAUUGAGACAGGGUCUUGCUCUAUUCCCCAGGCUGGA